AUUGAACGCUGGCGGUAUGCUUUACACAUGCAAGUCGAACGGCAGCACGGGGCAACCUGGUGGCGAGUGGCGAACGGGUGAGUAAUAUAUCGGAACAUGUCCGGAAGUGGGGGAUAACGUAGCGAAAGUUACGCUAAUACCGCAUAUGCCCUGAGGGGGAAAGGAGGGGAUCCGCAAGGACCUUUCGCUUUCGGAGUGGCCGAUAUCGGAUUAGCUAGUAGGUGAGGUAAAGGCUCACCUAGGCGACGAUCCGUAGCGGGUCUGAGAGGACGACCCGCCACACUGGAACUGAGACACGGUCCAGACUCCUACGGGUGGCUG
rnacentral:rRNA from 1 species